CAGUCACAUCUCUUGAUCCUCCUCCACCACCAGCACGUACUACAGUACGUUUGGUGCCAUCACAUCAAUUCAACAGCUGCCGAAGAACAAGAACAAACCGCUACCAAGAACUUCUGGAGCUUUUAAACUCCAUUUCAUUCGGUAAAGCAUGUUUCUAGGAGGAAGGAUUUGGUUUUUAAAACCACCGCGCAUGACACGUCAUGGCGGGCGUGUUGACGUCAGACGCGCUAAAAGUGACACACUAUUCAAAAAGUGAUUUAGUGUGAAGCGGCGGGUUUGUAUUUUGAAUAAUAUGCCCUAAAUGAAUGUGGGUUAGAAGAUCGAAGACGGCGGGUCGACCUGGUCCAGAUUGAGGAUUUACCGAGAAAGACAUUUGUUUUCGCUCCGAGACCGGGUUGAGCUGUCUGUCUUCACACACGGCACUUGCUGUGGAUAGACGGGUCUUCAUGAAGUCUUCUCAAAGUAAGGGGCGUUUUUAUUAUGGGAUGCUGCCGUGCUCCCAUGCUUUCUUGCUCUUGGCGGCCGUGCCUGCAUGUAUGGCUGCCAUGCCAGUACAUGUAUGCUUUGAUAGCUGUGCCAGCAUGUGUUCUGGUCGCUGUACCAAUUCUUUUUUGAUCAUACCAUUCGUUCAAACAGGUGGCCAUGUUGGACACAUGUCUCUUCUCUCUAUUAAAUUAAUAGCUGUUAGGGCUUAUCGACUCAACACUAGCCAAGAGCUGACAAGGCUCGUGUGAGAGGUGAGAGGCAUUUUGUGUCCAAGGGGAGACAGAGGAGCAUAAGUUGUUGGUCCUUUUGCUUUGUUGGCUGUGAAAGUCUCCCCAGGAUGUAGAGGUGUUAGACUGUCCUGGUCAGUUAGUUUUGUCUUGAAUUGCUGAGCUAGUGAUGUAGAAAUCUCUGUUUUUGGCAAUCUUAAGCAUGGACAUUAUGUUUGUGUGGGCUGUGUGACAGAUUGGGUGUUGGGUUUUGCAUUGAAUGAUUGAGUGGUAGCAAUCAAGCCUUGAACCUUUCAGCUCAGCAGUGAAGUAGAUGAUUAAAGUCUGGUGUUGCCUAGUCUGAAAAUGGUCACUGUACCAUGAAUAUAAAUGUGUCAAAUGGCUUGAUUAUGCACUAACACUUCCUUGGUAGGUGUGUCUACAGAAGGUAAGAAUGAUUUUCAUUCUUUUUGGAUGGCUGCCGUGUCGGCCUCCCUAUCCCAUCUCUCCCCUGGUUAUUUAA